rnacentral:rRNA from 1 species
GAUGAACGCUGGCGGCGUGCCUAAUACAUGCAAGUCGAGCGAACGGACGAGGAGCUUGCUUCUCUGACGUUAGCGGCGGACGGGUGAGUCACACGUGGAUAACCUACCUAUAAGACUGGGAUCACUUCGGGAAACCGUCUCUUAUCCCGUAUAAUCUCUUGCACCGCAUUGUUCAAUAGUGAAAGUCGGUCUUUCUGUCACUUCUAGAUGGAUCCGCGCUGCAUUAGCUAGUUGGUAAGUUAACGGGUUAUCAAGGCGACGAUGCGUAGCCGACCUGAGAGGGUGAUAGGCCACACUGGAGCUGGGACAGGGUCCAGGCGCCUACGGGAGGCAGCAGUAGGGAAUCUUCCGCAAAAGGCGAGAGCCUGACAGAGCAACGCCGCGUGAGUGAUGAAGGUGUUCGGAUCGUAAAACUCUGUUAUUAGGGAAGAACAGAUGUGUAAGUAACUGUGGACAUCUUGACGGUACCUAAUCAGAAAGCCACGGCUAACUACGUG